rnacentral:rRNA from 1 species
UGCGUAGGCGGAUUAAUAAGUCAGUGGUGAAAACCUGCAGCUUAACUGUAGAACUGCCAUUGAUACUGUUAGUCUUGAGUACGGUCAAGGUAGGCGGAAUGUGUAAUGUAGCGGUGAAAUGCUUAGAUAUUACACAGAACACCGAUUGCGAAGGCAGCUUACUGGACCAUUACUGACGCUGAGGCACGAAAGCGUGGGGAGCGAACAGGAUCAGAUACCCUGGUAGUCC